rnacentral:rRNA from 1 species
AGCAGGUUCGGCGUGGCACUCGUAAAGGGACUGCCGGUGUUAAACCGGAGGAAGGUGGGGAUGACGUCAAGUCCUCAUGGCCUUAUGACCAGGGCUACACACGUACUACAAUGGCCGAUACAAAGGGCAGCGACACUGCGAGGUGAAGCCAAUCCCGUAAAAUCGGUCUCAGUCCGGAUUGGAGUCUGCAACUCGACUCCAUGAAGUUGGAAUCGCUAGUAAUCGUGGAUCAGCAUGCCACGGUGAAUACGUUCCCGGGCCUU